rnacentral:rRNA from 1 species
AGUGAACGCUGGCGGUAGGCCUAACACAUGCAAGUCGAACGGCAGCACAGUAAGAGCUUGCUCUUACGGGUGGCGAGUGGCGGACGGGUGGGGAAUACAUCGGAAUCUACUUUUUCGUGGGGGAUAACGUAGGGAAACUUACGCUAAUACCGCAUACGACCUACGGGUGAAAGCAGGGGAUCUUCGGACCUUGCGCGAUUGAUUGAGCCGAUGUCGGAUUAGCUAGUUGGCGGGGUAAAGGCCCACCAAGGCGACGAUCCGUAGCUGGUCUGAGAGGAUGAUCAGCCACACUGGAACUGAGACACGGUCCAGACUCCUACGGGAGGCAGCAGUGGGGAAUAUUGGACAAUGGGCGCAAGCCUGAUCCAGCCAUACCGCGUGGGUGAAGAAGGCCUUCGGGUUGUAAAGCCCUUUUGUUGGGAAAGAAAAGCAGCAGGUUAAUACCCCGCUGUUCUGACGGUACCCAAAGAAUAAGCACCGGCUAACUUCGUG